rnacentral:rRNA from 1 species
CCUACGGGAGGCAGCAGUGAGGAAUAUUGGUCAAUGGACGAGAGUCUGAACCAGCCAAGUAGCGUGAAGGAUGACUGCCCUAUGGGUUGUAAACUUCUUUUAUAAAGGAAUAAAACGAGGCACGUGUGCCUUUUUGUCUGUACUUUAUGAAUAAGGAUCGGCUAACUCCGUGCCAGCAGCCGCGGUAAUACGGAGGAUCCGAGCGUUAUCCGGAUUUAUUGGGUUUAAAGGGAGCGUAGAUGGUUUGUUAAGUCAGUUGUGAAAGUUUGCGGCUCAACCGUAAAAUUGCAAUUGAUACUGGCAGUCUUGAGUACAGUUGAGGUAGGCGGAAUUCGUGGUGUAGCGAUGAAAUGCUUAGAUAUCACGAAGAACCCCGAUUGCGAAGGCAGCUUACUAGACUGUGACUGACAGUGAUGCUCGAAAGUGUGGGUAUCAAACAGGAUUAGAUACCCCGGUAGUC